rnacentral:rRNA from 1 species
CCGGAGAAUGUUAUCACGGGAGACACACGGCGGGUGCUAACGUCCGUCGUGAAGAGGGAAACAACCCAGACCGCCAGCUAAGGUCCCAAAGUCAUGGUUAAGUGGGAAACGAUGUGGGAAGGCCCAGACAGCCAGGAUGUUGGCUUAGAAGCAGCCAUCAUUUAAAGAAAGCGUAAUAGCUCACUGGUCGAGUCGGCCUGCGCGGAAGAUGUAACGGGGCUAAACCAUGCACCGAAGCUGCGGCAGCGACGCUUAUGCGUUGUUGGGUAGGGGAGCGUUCUGUAAGCCUGCGAAGGUGUGCUGUGAGGCAUGCUGGAGGUAUCAGAAGUGCGAAUGCUGACAUAAGUAACGAUAAAGCGGGUGAAAAGCCCGCUCGCCGGAAGACCAAGGGUUCCUGUCCAACGUUAAUCGGGGCAGGGUGAGUCGACCCCUAAGGCGAGGCCGAAAGGCGUAGUCGAUGGGAAACAGGUUAAUAUUCCUGUACUUGGUGUUACUGCGAAGGGGGGACGGAGAAGGCUAUGUUGGCCGGGCGACGGUUGUCCCGGUUUAAGCGUGUAGGCUGGUUUUCCAGGCAAAUCCGGAAAAUCAAGGCUGAGGCGUGAUGACGAGGCACUACGGUGCUGAAGCAACAAAUGCCCUGCUUCCAGGAAAAGCCUCUAAGCAUCAGGUAACAUCAAAUCGUACCCCAAACCGACACAGGUGGUCAGGUAGAGAAUACCAAGGCGCUUGAGAGAACUCGGGUGAAGGAACUAGGCAAAAUGGUGCCGUAACUUCGGGAGAAGGCACGCUGAUAUGUAGGUGAAGUCCCUUGCGGAUGGAGCUGAAAUCAGUCGAAGAUACCAGCUGGCUGCAACUGUUUAUUAAAAACACAGCACUGUGCAAACACGAAAGUGGACGUAUACGGUGUGACGCCUGCCCGGUGCCGGAAGGUUAAUUGAUGGGGUCAGCGCAAGCGAAGCUCUUGAUCGAAGCCCCGGUAAACGGCGGCCGUAACUAUAACGGUCCUAAGGUAGCGAAAUUCCUUGUCGGGUAAGUUCCGACCUGCACGAAUGGCGUAAUGAUGGCCAGGCUGUCUCCACCCGAGACUCAGUGAAAUUGAACUCGCUGUGAAGAUGCAGUGUACCCGCGGCAAGACGGAAAGACCCCGUGAACCUUUACUAUAGCUUGACACUGAACAUUGAGCCUUGAUGUGUAGGAUAGGUGGGAGGCUUUGAAGUGUGGACGCCAGUCUGCAUGGAGUCGACCUUGAAAUACCACCCUUUAAUGUUUGAUGUUCUAACGUGGACCCGUGAUCCGGGUUGCGGACAGUGUCUGGUGGGUAGUUUGACUGGGGCGGUCUCCUCCUAAAGAGUAACGGAGGAGCACGAAGGUUGGCUAAUCCUGGUCGGACAUCAGGAGGUUAGUGCAAUGGCAUAAGCCAGCUUGACUGCGAGCGUGACGGCGCGAGCAGGUGCGAAAGCAGGUCAUAGUGAUCCGGUGGUUCUGAAUGGAAGGGCCAUCGCUCAACGGAUAAAAGGUACUCCGGGGAUAACAGGCUGAUACCGCCCAAGAGUUCAUAUCGACGGCGGUGUUUGGCACCUCGAUGUCGGCUCAUCACAUCCUGGGGCUGAAGUAGGUCCCAAGGGUAUGGCUGUUCGCCAUUUAAAGUGGUACGCGAGCUGGGUUUAGAACGUCGUGAGACAGUUCGGUCCCUAUCUGCCGUGGGCGCUGGAGAACUGAGGGGGGCUGCUCCUAGUACGAGAGGACCGGAGUGGACGCAUCACUGGUGUUCGGGUUGUCAUGCCAAUGGCACUGCCCGGUAGCUAAAUGCGGAAGAGAUAAGUGCUGAAAGCAUCUAAGCACGAAACUUGCCCCGAGAUGAGUUCUCCCUGACCCUUUAAGGGUCCUGAAGGAACGUUGAAGACGACGACGUUGAUAGGCCGGGUGUGUAAGCGCAGCGAUGCGUUGAGCUAACCGGUACUAAUGAACCGUGAGGCUUAACCUUACAACGCCGAAG